CUUCGGAUUGUAAAGCUCUGUCGUUGGGGAAAAAUGGUUAUGCGGGUAAUAUUCGUGUAAUUUGAUGGUACCCAAGAAGGAAGCACCGGCUAACUUCGUGC
rnacentral:rRNA from 1 species